rnacentral:tRNA from 1 species
GGGCGAUUAGCUCAGCUGGGAGAGCGCCUGCCUUACAAGCAGGAUGUCGGCGGUUCGACCCCGUCAUCGCCCACCA